rnacentral:rRNA from 1 species
GAUGAACGCUGGCGGCGUGCCUAACACAUGCAAGUCGAACGGAGAUUACGGACGGAAGUUUUCGGAUGGAAGACUGUAAUUCUUAGUGGCGGACGGGUGAGUAACGCGUGGGCAACCUGCCCUAUACAGGGGGAUAGCAGCUGGAAACGGCUGGUAAGACCGCAUAAGUCGGCGAGACUGCAUGGUUUUGCCGGGAAAUGAGCAAUCAGGUAUAGGAUGGGCCCGCGUCCGAUUAGCCAGUUGGCAGGGUAAAAGCCUACCAAAGCAACGAUCGGUAGCCGGACUGAGAGGGCGGACGGCCACAUUGGGACUGAGACACGGCCCAAACUCCUACGGGAGGCAGCAGUGGGGGAUAUUGCACAAUGGAGGAAACUCUGAUGCAGCGACGCCGCGUGAGUGAAGAAGUAUUUCGGUAUGUAAAGCUCUAUCAGCAGGGAAGAUGAUGACGGUACCUGACGAAGAAGCCCCGGCUAACUACGUG